rnacentral:rRNA from 1 species
GCGCAAUGGGCGAAAGCCUGACGCAGCAACGCCGCGUGGGGGAUGACGGCCUUCGGGUUGUAAACCUCUUUCGACAGGGACGAAGCUUUCGGGUGACGGUACCUGUAGAAGAAGCACCGGUUAACUACGUGCCAGCAGCCGCGGUAAUACGUAGGGUGCGAGCGUUGUCCGGAUUUAUUGGGCGUAAAGAGCUCGUAGGCGGUUUGUCGCGUCGGCCGUGAAAACCUGCAGCUUAACUGUGGGCGCGCGGUCGAUACGGGCAGACUUGAGUUCGGCAGGGGAGACUGGAAUUCCUGGUGUAGCGGUGAAAUGCGCAGAUAUCAGGAGGAACACCGGUGGCGAAGGCGGGUCUCUGGGCCGAUACUGACGCUGAGGAGCGAAAGCAUGGGGAGCGAACAGGAUUAGAUACCCUGGUAGUCCAUGCCGUAAACGUUGGGCGCUAGGUGUGGGGAUGGGUUCCACCGUUUCCGUGCCGUAGCUAACGCAUUAAGCGCCCCGCCUGGGGAGUACGGCCGCAAGGCU